rnacentral:lncRNA from 1 species
AUGGCUUUUAUCUGCACCCAGUGUCUCUGCUGCAUGUGCCCUGCUGCCAUUCAGCUGGCUUUGAGAGCAGAGAAGCAGAGGUCCCACAACCACUCACUUACCGAGUGCUGGGCUGCAGCAGGCUGGCUGUGCACACUGUGGCUCACUGCCGUCUGGAAAGCCUGGAGUUGUGCAAUGCUGCAUGUGCUGCUUCUUGUAACCUCUGCCAGCUCCUCAUUUCCGCGUACAGCCUGUUUACAAGAGCAUGGCGCAGUGAGAGCUUUCCUGGUGAGGUUAUUUUACUGUGUGGAGAUACUGAGGUCCCUCCACCUGGAAGGAGCCCUCAGUGCUGGAGCAGCCAAGAGGGAGCAGUGGCCAUGAACGCCCACGGCGCGGUGGCCGCACUGCUGCAGGACUGCGAGCGAUCGUUGGCCGCACUGCUGUCAGCCAAGGCAGACAUCCGUGAGGAAGAGGAGCAGGAAUACCAGCGGCACCAAGGUGAGGCCCCAGGGGCAGCAGGGCGGGCAGCCGCUCCUCGGCCGUGCCCUAUUUUUCUGCUCCUGGCAGAUGAGAGCCAAGAGACGACUGGAUUUCAGGGCAGUGAAUGGGACGUGGGCAGUGGGUAGGCAGGGGAAGGCAGCCCACUUUGUUGCGGUGAAUUGCUGUCAGUUCUAAUUUUAGGCUUCAGUAAACAUGAGGCUGUAAGGAACAGUUUAGUUGGGGAAGAACAAUGCCCGAAAGUUUGCUGAUGCACAUAAAUUUCAGUUAUUAAAAAAAAAAAAAAGAAAGAAAGAAAAAAAAAAAGAAAAGAAAAGAAAAAGGAUGCAACUUCUGAAUAAGGGCACAUAUUUCCUCUCCUUUCAGUGGGGCUGGGGGAGGGCCCUCUCUGUUUGUCAGCUUCUUCUGAUAUAUUAAAGAGCUCAUUGCCUGAAUCUUUAUCUCGUAAAAUGCGUGUGACCUCUGUAAGUGGUGUCCAAAGAAAAAACUUGCAGUAUCCCUCUUGAAAGAAAAGCCCAUGUCAGCUAAUGGCUGGAAUGAAAAACCGGGAAGGGAAGCAGUAGUUAGAGAGGGCGCUAGGAGAGGAGCUCUUCACUUGUUUCAGUGCUAGCAUUGUGGGCUAGAAACAUUUAUUUCAGUGCUGUGGUAGUAAGGGAGGUUUUAAAAAAUGACUCAUUAAUUCUGGUGGAAAUGCAGCUGACACUAAUCACUGAAAGGUCUCACACGCUCAGUUCAGCUUUCUCCAGAGUCAGACUUCCACAGGGCUCCACAAUGUAACUGCCACAGUUUUUUUGCUCACCAGUGAAGAGCCAUGUUUGCAUUGCUGGGCUUGUGAGGGUCACACCUGUUCUGUGCAGGGCAGAGUGGUUACAUAUUGCUGUCU